rnacentral:rRNA from 1 species
GCUUAGAAGCAGCCACCAUUUAAAGAGUGCGUAAUAGCUCACUAGUCGAGUGACCCUGCGCCGAAAAUGUACCGGGGCUAAACAUAUUACCGAAGCUGUGGAGUACACCUUUAGGUGUAUUGGUAGGAGAGCGUUCUAAGGGCGUCGAAGGCAGAUCGUGAGGACUGCUGGAGCGCUUAGAAGUGAGAAUGCCGGUAUGAGUAGCGAAAGACAGGUGAGAAUCCUGUCCACCGAAUGACUAAGGUUUCCUGGGGAAGGCUCGUCCGCCCAGGGUUAGUCGGGACCUAAGCCGAGGCCGAUAGGCGUAGGCGAUGGAUAACAGGUUGAUAUUCCUGUACCCGUUGUUUUUGUUUGAGCAAUGGAGGGACGCAGGAGGCUAAGGAAUGCAGACGAUCGGAAAUGUCUGUCCAAGCAGUAAGUCUGAAGAGGAGUCAAAUGCUUCUUUUCUUAAGGACAAGCUGUGAUGGGGAGGGAAAUAAUAGUACCGAAGUUCCUGAUGUCACACUGCCGAGAAAAGCUUCUAGUGAGAAAACAGCGGCCCGUACCGCAAACCGACACAGGUAGUCGAGGAGAGAAUCCUAAGGUGAGCGAGAGAACUCUCGUUAAGGAACUCGGCAAAAUGACCCCGUAACUUCGGGAGAAGGGGUGCUGAUCAUACGAUCAGCCGCAGUGAAUAGGCCCAAGCGACUGUUUAUCAAAAACACAGGUCUCUGCAAAAUCGUAAGAUGAAGUAUAGGGGCUGACGCCUGCCCGGUGCUGGAAGGUUAAGAGGAGUGCUUAGCGCAAGCGAAGGUACGAAUUGAAGCCCCAGUAAACGGCGG